GGGGAGUGAAAUAGAUCCUGAAACCGCAUGCAUACAAAACAGUGGGAGCCUCAGCAAUGGGGUGACUGCGUACCUUUUGUAUAAUGGGUCAGCGACUUACGUUCAGUAGCGAGCUUAACCGAAUAGGGGAGGCGUAGCGAAAGCGAGUCUGAAUAGGGCGAUUCAGUUGCUGGGCGUAGACCCGAAACCAGAUGAUCUAUCCAUGGCCAGGAUGAAGGUGCCGUAACAGGUACUGGAGGUCCGAACCCACUAAUGUUGAAAAUUAGGGGAUGAGCUGUGGAUAGGGGUGGAAGGCUAAACAAAUCUGGAAAUAGCUGGUUCUCCCCGAAAGCUAUUUAGGUAGCGCCUCAUGUAUCACCACCGGGGGUAGAGCACUGUAAUGGUUGGAGGGGUCAUUGCGAUCUACUCCGCCAUAGCAAACUCCGAAUACCGGUGAGUGCGAGCAUGGGAGACAGACAGUGGGUGCUAACGUCCAUUGUCAAGAGGGAAACAACCCAGACCGCCAGCUAAGGUCCCCAAGCCA
rnacentral:rRNA from 1 species